UUUUCAUUCGGGCCUUAAGGGGCAGCCUUAACGAAUACUGGAGAGAAAAGGCGCAGCCUCUUCUUUGGAUGAGUCCUAGUCGCCUUAUCGUUGAGCCGGCCCUAGAAUCACAGUGUUUUAUCACACCUUUAAUCUCCAAUGAUUUUAUUUAUAGAUGCUCGUGUUUUAAAUUCAACAAUCCAUAAACUGUCUCCAUCUCUCAAAUCCAUCUCAACUUCCACAAAUCAACACUCAUUUACAGUCAAUUAGCUCAUCAAUUCAUGUGGGUUGAGUCCACGAACUGCUAUUUCUGCUUCCAAAUACUUCAAUUUCAAACCCUAGACAAAACCAGAUUCGGUUCUCUACUUCUUCAAAAAAAAAAAACACAUAGUUUGAAGAACUCGAAUUUGGGGAAAAGGGUUUUCUCGGGAUCAGAAAAACGCCCAAAACUUCUCUAUGGGAUUCCAAGAAAACCAUUUUGCCCAAGUUCCAGGUCUUUAACUCGGCUGGCAUUUCGAGCACUGAGCUCACCAAGAUCCCAACUAUAUUGACAUAAAGCUUGGCGAACAUUAGUGAAGAGUUUAUUUCGUACAGAUGUGUGAGCAUAAAACGUUAGGUGAAAAAACAACUUGGAAGGUUACCAAGCCUACCUCUAAAACAUCCCAAAGUUCAACCUUCUUCUGGGUGCUUUUGCCAGACUCUAAAAUAUCCCCAAAGUUCACCCUGUUCUUGCUUUUGCCUGACGAAAACACCAGCAUUACGAGGGAUGCCCGUGGCUGUUCAACAUUAGGUACAGUCAUGUUGUUGCUGGAAGAUUGCUAAUCUAAUUCAGUUCUACAUCAAGAUAACAUUUUGUUCCAAUUCCCUAAGCAGCUGCUGUGGGAUUUCAUGACUAGUACUGAUCGGUUUAAGGAGAUUGUGGAGGAAGUAAAGAAAAUGGGUCUUAACCCUGAGAGAAUGAAUUUCGCUUUUGCAGUUCAUGCACUGAGUAAAUCAAAUUGGGAAAAGAAGGUGGAGGUUUAUAAGAAGUGGUUUUUGUCUGAGGAUGAGAUUUUGGUGGCUUUUGGGAAGAAUCCAUGGUUUAUGAUGAAGUCGGAUGCUAAGAUUAUAAAGAAAAUGGAUUUUUUUGUCAAUAAAGUGGGUUGGGAGUCUUCAAUUGUUGCGACGAGUCCAGUGCUUAUUUGCUUGAGCUUGGAGAGGAGGAUCAUUCCAAGGCAUUUGGUUUAUUAAAGUCUGCUGUCAAAAGGUUUGCUUAAGAACAAAUUUGGCUUGAGUUGGAUGUUGGAGUCUCCUGAAAGUUACUUCCUAAAGAACUAUGUGAAAAAGUACGAGGAAGAAGCUCCAGUGCUUUUGAAGUUAUUUCAGGAGAAGUUGAAUCUUUCAAAUGUUCAGCAGGUUCCGACUUCAUUCUCGUGUUCUCACUAUGUAAAAGUGAAGGCAGGUGGGGGUUGAACUUCCAAGCGAGCUGGUCAAGCAGGCGUCAAUGCCUUUAUCUAGUUACUGUCGGAAGAUGGUGGUAUAAACAACCCCAUAGCGAAAAAGCCUUCAGUAAGGAGUUCGGGCAGAGGAAGAUAACCCAUUGCAUUCACUACUAGAAUAUGGGAAAAAUGAGGAACAGAGUGGACUUCCUUUUCAAGGUCAUACCAUACAUCUCUCUGAAUCCAACUAUACAUUGGUUUCUCCUAUGUUUACUCUUGUUGGCCCUGGGUGGUGAAUUUGCUUUUGCAUGAAAUACAACGUGGCAAUCAAUUCACAUUCAUUAAUCUCUGAGCAAAUUUGAGUUCUACGUUUUACUUCCGGCUUCCGGGAAUUGAAACUUGGAAGAUCAACAACAUAUUGCAUUGAAUUCUAGGAUGCUUCUGUAGUGGUUUGGCCCAUUUGGGCUUGGUGUGAUAUACCAUUGUCCGUUUAUCUGGGAGAUAAGCCUGGUGAUCUUGGUUUUGUUUGAACUAAUUCAGGUUGCAUUUAGUAACGUGUUCGUUUUCUGUUUUUGCAGUCGCAAAGAAACAUAAACAUAAUUUUGUUUUUCGAAGUAAAAACAGAAAGCAAAAAUAAGGUUCAGUAACUUUUGCUGUUGCCACAAUUUUAAUAACAAAAAACAAAAAGCAGUGUUUAGUA